AUUGAACGCUGGCGGCAUGCUUUACACAUGCAAGUCGAACGGUAACAGGCCUUCGGUUGCUGACGAGUGGCUAACGGGUGAGUAAUGCAUCGGAAAGUGCCCAGAGGUGGGGGAUAACGCAGCGAAAGCUGUGCUAAUACCGCAUGUGAUCUGAGGAUGAGAGCGGGGGACCAGGCAGGAAUGUUUGGCCUCGCGCCUUUGGAGCGGCCGAUGUGAGAUUAGUUGGUUGGUGGGGUAAAGACCUACCAAGCCGACGAUCUGUAGCUGGUCUGAGAGGACGGUCAGCCACACUGGGACUGAGACACGGCCCAGACUCCUACGGGAGGCAGCAGUGGGGAAUUUUGGACAAUGGGCGCAAGCAUGAUACAGCAAUGCCGCGUGCGGGAAGAAGGCGUUCGGGUUGUAAACCGCUUUUGUACGGAGCGAAAAGGCUCUGGCUAAUACCUGGGGCUGAUGACGGUACCGUAAAAAUAAGCACCGGCUAACUACGUG
rnacentral:rRNA from 1 species